rnacentral:rRNA from 1 species
GACGAACGCUGGCGGCGUGCUUAACACAUGCAAGUGGAGCGACGAACCCGAGCUUGCUCGGGGGCAAAGCCGCGAACGGGUGAGUAACACGUGGGUAAUCUGCCCUGAUGAUUGGGACAACCUCGGGAAACCGAGGCUAAUACCAAAUGUGCUCGUACCUACAUCAGUAGGAACGAGGAAAGGAGGCUUCGGCUUCCGCAUCGGGAUGAGCCCGCGGCCCAUUAGCUUGUUGGNGGGGUAAUGGCCUACCAAGGCUUCGAUGGGUAGCUGGUCUGAGAGGACGAUCAGCCACACUGGGACUGAGACACGGCCCAGACUCCUACGGGAGGCAGCAGUGGGGAAUCUUGCGCAAUGCGCGAAAGCGUGACGCAGCAACGCCGCGUGA